GCGGGCGAGGUGACCUCGGGCGGAUUUGCAAGCCCCACAAGUUUCUCCUUUCUCUGCAAAACUGUCGUGAUUACAAUGUUGCUCCCCUUUUGCAAAAUAAAAGUAGGUUAGUUGGAUUGUUUGUCCUUAGAUUUCUAGGGGUUCAUGAAGGAGGAUGUGUAUUUCUCCCUCCCCCCCGCACUGCACACCCCGCGCCCUGUUACUUUUUUUUUCCGCUUCUCUUUCUGGGGAUGGAAAAACAACUUUGGGGCCCCCUGGGGGGUGCCGGCGUGGAGGUGGAGGUGUCCGCUAGGGCUCAGCUGUCAAAAAGCAGUGGGGCGUGGGGGGCAGAGACGACUGGGCAGGGAAACGCCGAGGAAAGGGCGCGAACUUUAUUCCGACUGCUGCGAACCUCGGCGUCGCUUUUCUUUUCGGGCAGUCGCCGGUCUCGGUCCCUUUUGACCAGUUCCUACUCGCGAGCCGCCGCCGCCGCCGCCCCCUCCUCCUUUCCCCUUCCCCUCCUCCUUCGUGCCCGUCGCGCUGCCCCGCACCCGGAUCAGCCCGGGUCCCUGCUCGCUGUCGGGGAGAAGGGAAGGCAGGCACAGGUUUCGAGCAUAUUCCCUGAACACUUGAAAAUCAGAAUCGGCGGAGGCGAACACUUGGCUUGGCAGGACAGCAGGUCUGGUUACCGGUUUCCACUGAGAAGAGAAAAUCAUCCCUCCUUGCUUUCUCUCUUCCCCGAAGUAGAGGAAGAGACUGCCCAAUUGCACUCAGAGUACGAAGAUCAACUCAGUGCGAUGGGGCAAGAGAAGUGCCAUCAACGAAGCCCAAAGAAAGUUCAUAGAAGAGUUCCCUGGUGGCUCAGCAAGUUAAGGAUCCAGCGUUGUCACUGCUGUGGCUCAGGUCACUGUGGUUCAGGUCGCUGCAGUGAUCAUUGACCUGGAAUUUCAACCUGCUAUGGGUAUGCCUUUCCCCCGCAAAAGAGAAGAAGGACUUGUGGGAAAUCCAAAGAAAUGAGACUGUUCUGGUUCAAGAAAUAACUAGGAAGUGGUGUUUGAGAUGGGCCUAGAAAGAUGCCAACAGGCAGAGGGAUUUCCAGGUGGAGGAAAAUAAAUGUGAGAAGAAAGAAUGUGCAGGAAGCAAUAAGUAUUUAUUUGGGAUGGGGAAAGGCAGUUAGUACAUGGUGAAAGCAGUUGUUCUCAAAUCUGGCCACACAACUGAAUUAAUUGGGGACCUUUUAAUAAAAACACAGGUUUCUGGGCUCCUUACCAGACCUUGUGAAUGAAAAUUUUCAAGAAUGAAGGUCUAUGUUAGGUUGUGCUUUUUUUAAAAAAUAUGCAUAUAUUUUAGUUCUCUAAGUGAUUCGAAUGUGCACCUAGGCUUAGAAAUCACUGGAGGAGGUUUUGCUAAAUAAACCCUGAAGAAUUGUGCCAUGAUCAGCCACACUGCCGUACUGUGUUUUCUAAACUUUAGUUUUAAAAAUCAAUUUAGUGAGUCUCGUUACGUAUUUUUUUUUUAAUAUCAUAAUGCAUUGUAUGCUGUAAGGGUAGGAAGUUUUUGUGAAAGAUUUGUUUCUCCUUAAGUAUGUGUUUGCUUAUGUAUAUGUCUUCUUGUUGCUUAUGCAAUGUAAAAGACAUGUCUUACUGAUUUCUUUAGUCAAAGCAAAAAAUGGAAAGGGCUAAAUUACAGGAGAAGAUCGUAUUUAAUUUUGUUGGCAAUGGGGAGCCAUAGAAGCUUUUGAGCUGGGGAGUGACAGGACCAGAUUUAUACUGGUGAAAAUUAGUAAGGCAGCAAUGUACAAGAUGGAUUGAAAUGAGGAAUAAAAGGAACGAGAUGUUAAUUAGACUCUAUAACCAUUAUUAAUUUUAAGAGUCAGACUGAUUAAAACACAUUUAAGUUCUAAAAUUAUUCGCAUUUCUAAUUAACAUAAUAUUUUAAAAAUGUUAAGCCAGAAGGCACCUCAGGAUUGGGUCAGGGCUUCCAGUUAUUAUGAACAGUGAUUAUUACUGAGCCUCUAUUAGCCCAAAGGUUGUGAUUAAGUGAUACACCUCAUUGUAUGAACUCUAGAGGGAAAAAAAUGAGGAAAUACAUAAAGCUAUGUUGCAGACAAUUCAAAAAGUGGGAUUUAGUCUAGAGUAGUCAUCAAAUUAUGGACAGCGAAAGGAUUUUUAACAGACUUCUCCACAGAAAAUGUGCAAGUGAACACAGGCACAUGGACAUCAUUAGUCAUCAGGGAAUGUAAAUUAAGGCCACAUUCAACACGUGCUACAACAUAGAUAAACCUGACGACAUUAUGCUUAGAGGAAGAAGCCAGUCGCAAAAGGAAAAAUGCAAUAUGAUUCUGCUUAUUUAAGGUAUUGAAACUGGUCAAACCCAUAGGGACAGAAAAUAGGGUUGUGUUGGCCAGUGGCUGAGGGGAGACAGGAAUGUGAAGCUGUUGUUUUAACAGGUGGAGAGUUUUUGUUUUGCAAGAUGAAAAGAGUUCUUUGGAUAAAUAUUGUUAAUGGUAGCACAACACUGUGAAUGUAUUUAAUGCCACUGAACUGUACACUUAAAAAUGAUUAAGAUGGU
rnacentral:lncRNA from 9 species